rnacentral:rRNA from 1 species
CCUACGGGUGGCAGCAGUGAGGAAUAUUGGUCAAUGGUCGGGAGACUGAACCAGCCAAGCCGCGUGAGGGAAGAAGGUACAGCGUAUCGUAAACCUCUUUUGUCAGGGAACAAAGGCGGGGACUAGUCCCCGGAUGAGGGUACCUGAAGAAAAAGCAUCGGCUAACUCCGUGCCAGCAGCCGCGGUAAUACGGAGGAUGCGAGCGUUAUCCGGAUUUAUUGGGUUUAAAGGGUGCGCAGGCGGCCUGUUAAGUCAGCGGUCAAAGCCCGGGGCUCAACCCCGGCGAGCCGUUGAAACUGGCGGUCUGGAGUUGGAGAGAAGUACGCGGAAUGCGCGGUGUAGCGGUGAAAUGCUUAGAUAUCGCGCAGAACCCCGAUUGCGAAGGCAGCGUACCGGCUCCACACUGACGCUGAGGCACGAAAGCGUGGGUAUCGAACAGGAUUAGAUACCCCAGUAGUC